rnacentral:lncRNA from 1 species
UCUCAAACUCCUGACCUCAUGUGAUCCCUCCGCCUCAGCCUCCCAAAGUGCUGGGAUUAUAGGCAUGAGUCAUCGCACCCAACACUGUCUUUAUUUAAUAUUACUAUUUUUUUUGUGAUGACACUUAACAUAAGAUCUACCCUCAUAAAAAAAAUUUUAGUAUACAAUACAGUAUUGUUAACUAUAAACACUGUGCUAUAGAGUCGAUGUCUAGGUCUCAGGCAUCUUGCAUAGCUGAAACUUUGUGCCCCUUGACAUUCUCCCCAACCCCUGACAACCACCAUUUCCUGCUCUGCUUCUGUAAGUUUGACUAUUUUCGAUUCCUCACAUAAGUGGCAUCAGUUAUUAUUUGUUUUCUGGCUCUCAAUUAUUUCACUUGAUGAAUGUACUCCAGGUUCAUUCAUGUUACUGAAAACGGCAGAAUUCCUCUCCUGUCCCCUGCCCUCACCAUUGAGGACCUAAAGGAUAAUGAAAGGGGGGAAUCUGUGCCCUAAAUAAUCCCUUUUGGCAGUUACUUUCUGUUUUCAAAGUUCAGCUCUCCCUCUCCCUCUCCCUCUCCCUCUCCCUCUCCCUCUCUCUCUCCCUCUCUCUCCACGGUCUCCCUCUCCCUCUCCCUCUCUCUCCACGGUCUCCCUCUCCCUCUCGCUCUCUCUCCACGGUCUCCCUCUCCCUCUCCCUCUCUCUCCACGGUCUCCCUCUCCCUCUCCCUCUCUCUCCACGGUCUCCUUCUGUUGCCGAGCCAAGGCUGGACUGUACUGCCGCCAUCUCCGCUCACUGCAACCUCCCUGCCUGAUUCUCCUGCCUCAGCCUGCCUGGGAUUGCAGGCGCGCGCCGCCAUGCCUGACUGGUUUUUGCUGGAGUGCAGUGGCGUGAUCUCGGCUCGCUACAACCUCCACCUCCCAGCCGCCUGCCUUGGCCUCCCAAAGUGCUGAGAUUGCAGCUUCUGCCCGGCUGCCACCCCAUCUGGGAAGUGAGGAGCGUCUCUGCCUGGCCGCCUAUCGUCUGGGAAGUGAGGAGCGCCUCUUCCCGGCCGCCAUCCCGUCUGGGAAGUGACCAGCGUCUCUGCCCGGCCGCCCAUCGUCUGAGAUGUGGGGAGCGCCUCUGCCCCGCCGCCCCGUCUGGGAUGUGAGGAGCGCCUCUGCCCGGUCGCGACCCCGUCUGGGAACUGAGGAGUGUCUCUGCCCGACCGUCACCCCGUCUGGGAGAAAUUCGACAGGGAAGAAAAGCAAGUCACCAGGGACUGUAUCCUUGAUUAGUGGCUGCGAUCCUGCAACACACUUCAUCCUGCCCAAUCCCCAUCGAUGUUGGCAUUUUCCUACUCAAUUGAUGUCCUCAUAUUUUCCCUGCUCCAUCUACACACCAUAUAUUUCCUCAGUGGAAAACCUGUGAUGGAAGACACUUUGCAUAAACCACAGAGAGUAUCCCCAUGAUAUGGAG